GGCGGUCUGUCAAGUCGGAUGUGAAAUCCCCGGGCUCAACCUGGGAACUGCAUUCGAAACUGGCAGGCUAGAGUCUUGUAGAGGGGGGUAGAAUUCCAGGUGUAGCGGUGAAAUGCGUAGAGAUCUGGAGGAAUACCGGUGGCGAAGGCGGCCCCCUGGACAAAGACUGACGCUCAGGUGCGAAAGCGUGGGGAGCAAACAGGAUUAGAUACCCUGGUAGUCCACGCCGUAAACGAUGUCGACUUGGAGGUUGUGCCCUUGAGGCGUGGCUUCCGGAGCUAACGCGUUAAGUCGACCGCCUGGGGAGUACGGCCGCAAGGUUAAAACUCAAAUGAAUUGACGGGGGCCCGCACAAGCGGUGGAGCAUGUGGUUUAAUUCGAUGCAACGCGAAGAACCUUACCUACUCUUGACAUCCAGAGAACUUUCCAGAGAUGGWUUGGUGCCUUCGGGAACUCUGAGACAGGUGCUGCAUGGCUGUCGUCAGCUCGUGUUGUGAAAUGUUGGGUUAAGUCCCGCAACGAGCGCAACCCUUAUCCUUUGUUGCCAGCGGUYMGGCCGGGAACUCAAAGGAGACUGCCAGUGAUAAACUGGAGGAAGGUGGGGWUGACGUCAAGUCAUCAUGGCCCUUACGAGUAGGGCUACACACGUGCUACAAUGGCGCAUACAAAGAGAAGCGACCUCGCGAGAGCAAGCGGACCUCAUAAAGUGCGUCGUAGUCCGGAUUGGAGUCUGCAACUCGACUCCAUGAAGUCGGAAUCGCUAGUAAUCGUGGAUCAGAAUGCCACGGUGAAUACGUUCCCGGGCCUUGUACACACCGCCCGUCACACCAUGGGAGUGGGUUGCAAAAGAAGUAGGUAGCUUAACCUUCGGGAGGGCGCUUACCACUCUGUGAUUCAUGACUG
rnacentral:rRNA from 1 species